rnacentral:rRNA from 1 species
UUGGGUGCCUAGCGCACUUUGUGGCGAAGUUAACGCGAUAAGUCGACCGCCUGGGGAGUACGGCCGCAAGGUUAAAACUCAAAUGAAUUGACGGGGGCCCGCACAAGCGGUGGAGCAUGUGGUUUAAUUCGAUGCAACGCGAAGAACCUUACCUACCCUUGACAUCUACAGAAGCCGGGAGAGAUCCGGGUGUGCCUUCGGGAACUGUAAGACAGGUGCUGCAUGGCUGUCGUCAGCUCGUGUUGUGAAAUGUUGGGUUAAGUCCCGUAACGAGCGCAACCCUUGUCCUUAUUUGCCAGCACGUAAUGGUGGGAACUCUAAGGAGACUGCCGGUGACAAACCGGAGGAAGGUGGGGACGACGUCAAGUCAUCAUGGCCCUUACGGGUAGGGCUACACACGUGCUACAAUGGCCGGUACAAAGGGUUGCCAACUCGCGAGAGUGAGCCAAUCCCGAAAAGCCGGUCUCAGUCCGGAUCGGAGUCUGCAACUCGACUCCGUGAAGUCGGAAUCGCUAGUAAUCGUGAAUCAGAAUGUCACGGUGAAUACGUUCCCGGGCCUUGUACACACCGCCCA